rnacentral:rRNA from 1 species
AUUGAACGCUGGCGGCAGGCCUUACACAUGCAAGUCGAACGAGUGGCGGACGGGUGAGUAAUGUCUCGGAAACUGCCUGAUGGAGGGGGAUAACUACUGGAAACGGUAGCUAAUACCGCAUACUAUCAGAUGUGCCCAGAUGGGAUUAGCUUGUUGGUGGGGUAACGGCUCACCAAGGCGACGAUCCCUAGCUGGUCUGAGAGGAUGACCAGCCACACUGGAACGGAGACACGGGCCAGACUCCGACGGGAGGCAGCAGUGGGGAAUAUUGCACAAUGGGCGCAAGCCUGAGGCAGCCAUGCCGCGUGUAUGAGGAAGGCCUUCGGGUUGUAAAGUACUUUCGGCGGGAAGGCGUUACCCGCAGAAUAAGCACCGGCUAACUCCGUGCCAGCAGCCGCGGUAAUAC